CUUCUCACAAAGCCCCUUGCAAGUUAUCAUCCCUUUUCCUCAGGGAGACACUGAUGUGCUGCAGCAAACAACAUUCUGGGAUUUCAACAAAGUGUGGAGGAGAGCAUUGAACCUUCGACUUUGGUGGAAGUUGGUGUAAUGGUACACCUGGGAUCUGAAGCAGAAAACUUCCCUGGAGGACAGCAUGUGUAUUGCAACCAGAUGCCAUCUGACAUUGGAUAUUUGAACAUCCCAGGGAGCAGAAGCUGAGUCCCAGGUCUCUUCUACUCAAAUCCAGGAGCUGAUGAAUGUAAAGCUGAGAUUUUCCCUGAGAAUCUGGAAGUGAAGCUGAAAUCACUUCAGUGAAAAGUGAGCCAGCAUGGUUGAGCAAUCAUUGGUGAUGUGAGCCUCCAUCCCUGGCCCACCCUCCUCAGCUGUGUUUCAGAAUGGGCAAUCCAUGUGCCAAAGCCUAGAAGGUGAUUUCAGCAUUUCCAGGUACCAAAAUAACAGCCUUCUCACACUGAUUCAGGAUGCACUAAUCACUGAAGAACUUGCAAAAGACAUAUGGGACUAUAAAUUCAUAAGCAUUUCUGACUCCAUCAAGUAGCUGCAGAGAAGCUUUUCAGGCAGUCAAAGGCAUUCAGCUGUCUCAGCAAGAGGGCACUAAUGAACAGGAGUUGGCCAGAAAGGAAAGCUGCCCCUUGGAAGUGGAAAUGGGAGCUGUGUCCCACCCAUGCCCUGUGCAGAGCAGAGCAAGGUCUGUGCCUGGGCUUUAGC